rnacentral:rRNA from 1 species
UACGUAGGGUGCGAGCGUUAAUCGGAAUUACUGGGCGUAAAGCGUGCGCAGGCGGUCUGUUAUGUCUGAUGUGAAAGCCCCGGGCUCAACCUGGGAAUGGCAUUGGAAACUGGCAGGCUCGAGUAUGGCAGAGGGGGGUGGAAUUCCGCGUGUAGCAGUGAAAUGCGUAGAGAUGCGGAGGAACACCGAUGGCGAAGGCAGCCCCCUGGGCCAAUACUGACGCUCAGGCACGAAAGCGUGGGGAGCAAACAGG